rnacentral:rRNA from 1 species
ACCCGGAGAACUGAAACAUCUUAGUACCCGGAGGAAGAGAAAGAAAAUUCGAUUCCCUUAGUAGCGGCGAGCGAAACGGGAAGAGCCCAAACCAAAAAGCUUGCUUGUUGGGGUUGUAGGACACUCUAUACGGAGUUACAAAGGACGACAUUAGACGAAUCAUCUGGAAAGAUGAAUCAAAGAAGGUAAUAAUCCUGUAGUCGAAAAUGUUGUCUCUCUUGAGUGGAUCCUGAGUACGACGGAGCACGUGAAAUUCCGUCGGAAUCUGGGAGGACCAUCUCCUAAGGCUAAAUACUCUCUAGUGACCGAUAGUGAACCAGUACCGUGAGGGAAAGGUGAAAAGCACCCCGGAAGGGGAGUGAAAUAGAACCUGAAACCGUGUGCUUACAAGUAGUCAGAGCCCGUUAAUGGGUGAUGGCGUGCCUUUUGUAGAAUGAACCGGCGAGUUACGAUUUGAUGCAAGGUUAAGCAGUAAAUGUGGAGCCGUAGCGAAAGCGAGUCUGAAUAGGGCGUUUAGUAUUUGGUCGUAGACCCGAAACCAGGUGAUCUACCCUUGGUCAGGUUGAAGUUCAGGUAACACUGAAUGGAGGACCGAACCGACUUACGUUGAAAAGUGAGCGGAUGAACUGAGGGUAGCGGAGAAAUUCCAAUCGAACCUGGAGAUAGCUGGUUCUCUCCGAAAUAGCUUUAGGGCUAGCCUCAAGUGAUGAUUAUUGGAGGUAGAGCACUGUUUGGACGAGGGGCCCCUCUCGGGUUACCGAAUUCAGACAAACUCCGAAUGCCAAUUAAUUUAACUUGGGAGUCAGAACAUGGGUGAUAAGGUCCGUGUUCGAAAGGGAAACAGCCCAGACCACCAGCUAAGGUCCCAAAAUAUAUGUUAAGUGGAAAAGGAUGUGGCGUUGCCCAGACAACUAGGAUGUUGGCUUAGAAGCAGCCAUCAUUUAAAGAGUGCGUAAUAGCUCACUAGUCGAGUGACACUGCGCCGAAAAUGUACCGGGGCUAAACAUAUUACCGAAGCUGUGGAUUGUCCUUUGGACAAUGGUAGGAGAGCGUUCUAAGGGCGUUGAAGCAUGAUCGUAAGGACAUGUGGAGCGCUUAGAAGUGAGAAUGCCGGUGUGAGUAGCGAAAGACGGGUGAGAAUCCCGUCCACCGAUUGACUAAGGUUUCCAGAGGAAGGCUCGUCCGCUCUGGGUUAGUCGGGUCCUAAGCUGAGGCCGACAGGCGUAGGCGAUGGAUAACAGGUUGAUAUUCCUGUACCACCUAUAAUCGUUUUAAUCGAUGGGGGGACGCAGUAGGAUAGGCGAAGCGUGCGAUUGGAUUGCACGUCUAAGCAGUAAGGCUGAGUAUUAGGCAAAUCCGGUACUCGUUAAGGCUGAGCUGUGAUGGGGAGAAGACAUUGUGUCUUCGAGUCGUUGAUUUCACACUGCCGAGAAAAGCCUCUAGAUAGAAAAUAGGUGCCCGUACCGCAAACCGACACAGGUAGUCAAGAUGAGAAUUCUAAGGUGAGCGAGCGAACUCUCGUUAAGGAACUCGGCAAAAUGACCCCGUAACUUCGGGAGAAGGGGUGCUCUUUAGGGUUAACGCCCAGAAGAGCCGCAGUGAAUAGGCCCAAGCGACUGUUUAUCAAAAACACAGGUCUCUGCUAAACCGUAAGGUGAUGUAUAGGGGCUGACGCCUGCCCGGUGCUGGAAGGUUAAGAGGAGUGGUUAGCUUCUGCGAAGCUACGAAUCGAAGCCCCAGUAAACGGCGGCCGUAACUAUAACGGUCCUAAGGUAGCGAAAUUCCUUGUCGGGUAAGUUCCGACCCGCACGAAAGGCGUAACGAUUUGGGCACUGUCUCAACGAGAGACUCGGUGAAAUCAUAGUACCUGUGAAGAUGCAGGUUACCCGCGACAGGACGGAAAGACCCCGUGGAGCUUUACUGUAGCCUGAUAUUGAAAUUCGGCACAGCUUGUACAGGAUAGGUAGGAGCCUUUGAAACGUGAGCGCUAGCUUACGUGGAGGCGCUGGUGGGAUACUACCCUAGCUGUGUUGGCUUUCUAACCCGCACCACUUAUCGUGGUGGGAGACAGUGUCAAGCGGGCAGUUUGACUGGGGCGGUCGCCUCCUAAAAGGUAACGGAGGCGCUCAAAGGUUCCCUCAGAAUGGUUGGAAAUCAUUCAUAGAGUGCAAAGGCAUAAGGGAGCUUGACUGCGAGACCUACAAGUCGAGCAGGGUCGAAAGACGGACUUAGUGAUCCGGUGGUUCCGCAUGGAAGGGCCAUCGCUCAACGGAUAAAAGCUACCCCGGGGAUAACAGGCUUAUCUCCCCCAAGAGUUCACAUCGACGGGGAGGUUUGGCACCUCGAUGUCGGCUCAUCGCAUCCUGGGGCUGUAGUCGGUCCCAAGGGUUGGGCUGUUCGCCCAUUAAAGCGGUACGCGAGCUGGGUUCAGAACGUCGUGAGACAGUUCGGUCCCUAUCCGUCGUGGGCGUAGGAAAUUUGAGAGGAGCUGUCCUUAGUACGAGAGGACCGGGAUGGACAUACCUCUGGUGUACCAGUUGUCGUGCCAACGGCAUAGCUGGGUAGCUAUGUGUGGACGGGAUAAGUGCUGAAAGCAUCUAAGCAUGAAGCCCCCCUCAAGAUGAGAUUUCCCAACUUCGGUUAUAAGAUCCCUCAAAGAUGAUGAGGUUAAUAGGUUCGAGGUGGAAGCAUGGUGACAUGUGGAGCUGACGAAUACUAAUCGAUCGAAGACUUAAUCAA